AUUGAACGCUGGCGGCAUGCCUUACACAUGCAAGUCGAACGGCAGCACGGGAGCUUGCUCCUGGUGGCGAGUGGCGAACGGGUGAGUAAUGCAUCGGAACGUGCCCUGAAGGUGGGGGAUAACGUAGCGAAAGUUACGCUAAUACCGCAUAUUCUGUGAGCAGGAAAGCAGGGGAUCUUCGGACCUUGCGCUUUUGGAGCGGCCGAUGUCGGAUUAGCUAGUUGGUGGGGUAAAGGCCCACCAAGGCGACGAUCCGUAGCGGGUCUGAGAGGAUGAUCCGCCACACUGGAACUGAGACACGGUCCAGACUCCUACGGGAGGCAGCAGUGGGGAAUUUUGGACAAUGGGCGCAAGCCUGAUCCAGCCAUGCCGCGUGAGUGAAGAAGGCC
rnacentral:rRNA from 1 species